rnacentral:rRNA from 1 species
ACUCCUACGGGAGGCAGCAGUGGGGAAUAUUGCACAAUGGGGGAAACCCUGAUGCAGCCAUGCCGCGUGUGUGAAGAAGGCCUUCGGGUUGUAAAGCACUUUCAGUAGGGAGGAAGGUAGUGUAGUUAACACCUGCAUUAUUUGACGUUACCUACAGAAGAAGCACCGGCUAACUCCGUGCCAGCAGCCGCGGUAAUACGGAGGGUGCGAGCGUUAAUCGGAAUUACUGGGCGUAAAGCGCAUGCAGGCGGCCUGUUAAGUCAGAUGUGAAAGCCCGGGGCUUAACCUCGGAAUUGCAUUUGAAACUGGCAGGCUAGAGUCUUGUAGAGGGGGGUAGAAUUUCAGGUGUAGCGGUGAAAUGCGUAGAUAUUAGGAGGAACACCAGUGGCGAAGGCGACUUACUGGACUGUAACUGACGCUGAUGCACGAAAGCGUGGGUAGCGAACAGGAUUAGAUA